rnacentral:lncRNA from 1 species
GACGCCUGGGUGGCUCAGCAGUUGAGCAUCUGCCUUCAGCUCAGGAUGUGAUCCCAGAAUUUUGGGAUUGAGUCCUGCAUUGGGCUCCUGCAUGGAGCCUGCUUCUCCUCCCUGUACCUAUGUCUCUGCCUCUCUCUGUGUCUCUCAUAAUAAAUAAGUAAAAUAUUUUUAAAUUAAUUAAUUAAUUAAUUAUAAAGUGGCACUUUAGGUGUAUGGUAGGGAGAGGAUGUAGAACCCUGGGAAAGACACUCUGCUUCUUGGCAUUUAUCCCCAAUAGUAGGCCAUUGUAGGCUUUAGAAAUACUUGCUGGUUCUUCUUGCUUGUUGUAGGAAGCCCCAGUUCUACAGUCCAAGUGUUGGUUUCAUGUAUACUCUAAGAAAAGGUAAAACCCAGCUGCUGAACCUUUUUCCUUUAUCUCCUUCCCUAAUGAAAAAUAUUCAGAAGAAAAGGUAAAACCCAGCUGCUGAACCCUUUUCCUUUAACUCCUUCCCUAAUGAAAAAUAUUCAGAAACUGGGUAAGAAUUGUCCCAACCUUAGUCUCACCCAUGUUGUCCUUUCAUUCUAUUUUAUCCAGGUAUUUUUCUGGAGCCAGCUGCUCUCCAAGAAGAUAAGUUAACAGUUGCCAGUCAUGGCCAGUGUGGAAUACUUCUGUCUUGUACUUUUGGAUGUCACCAGAGUGAAUUUAUGUUACUUCUGCCAUGUGUCUGGAAGCACUAGUCACCUGGGAUCAUGUCAAUCCAAUUUUGGAGGCUGAAUAAUUAAAGCUGAGUUGCUAUCCCUCUAAAGGCCUAUUUACUUCUGGUUCAACCUUAACUCCCAGUGUGGAGGCAUGUCUUGAGGUCUCAAUCUAAAGGGAGGAGGGUUUAUCAAGCCUCUCUCUUGUUUUGUUCUUAUAUUAUCAGUUCUGUUCUUCAUUGGCUCACUGUACAUUUUUAAAUUUUAUUAUCUCAUUCAUUUAUCUCUUUGGGGUUUCUGUCCUGUUUCAUAAAGACCAUCUCUUUU